rnacentral:tRNA from 1 species
GUUAUAAUAGUUUAAUAGUAAAACUUUGGUCUUGUAAACCAACAUUAGAUUAUAUAUCUUUAUAACU